AUUGAACGCUGGCGGCAGGCCUAACACAUGCAAGUCGAGCGGAUGAGGGAAGCUUGCUUCCUGAUUUAGCGGCGGACGGGUGAGUAAUGCCUAGGAAUCUGCCUAUUAGUGGGGGAUAACGUUCCGAAAGGAACGCUAAUACCGCAUACGUCCUACGGGAGAAAGUGGGGGAUCUUCGGACCUCACGCUAAUAGAUGAGCCUAGGUCGGAUUAGCUAGUUGGUGAGGUAACGGCUCACCAAGGCGACGAUCCGUAGCUGGUCUGAGAGGAUGAUCAGCCACACUGGAACUGGGACACGGUCCAGACUCCUACGGGAGGCAGCAGUGGGGAAUAUUGGACAAUGGGCGAAAGCCUGAUCCAGCCAUGCCGCGUGUGUGAAGAAGGUCUUCGGAUUGUAAAGCACUUUAAGUUGGGAGGAAGGGCUGUAAGCUAAUAUCUUGCAGCUUUGACGUUACCAACAGAAUAAGCACCGGCUAACUCUGUGCCAGCAGCCGCCGUAAAAC
rnacentral:rRNA from 1 species